CACAGACUGGUAUUGGACCUUGGUGGAGGUCACAUUCUACAGGCUUCAUUGAAGUUGUGAAUCAGCUCACAUGUGCCAAGUCUCUCCAGCAUGUAGAGGAGGAUUCUUCACCCCAGUCCAUCAAGAACUGUAUAAGAUUUCCUUUCUGAUCCCCAGAGUGUUCUGCAGAAGACCAAUAAGGAAGCCAUUUACAUUGCUUGCAGCCUCCCUAUUGCAAUCAUUAAUAAUCUGCUGUCAGUCAAGCAAUAAAU